AUACGUAGGGUGCGAGCGUUGUCCGGAAUUACUGGGCGUAAAGAGCUCGUAGGUCGUUUGUCGCGUCGUCUGUGAAAUUCCGGGGCUUAACUCCGGGCGUGCAGGCGAUACGGGCAUAACUUGAGUACUGUAGGGGAGACUGGAAUUCCUGGUGUAGCGGUGAAAUGCGCAGAUAUCAGGAGGAACACCGGUGGCGAAGGCGGGUCUCUGGGCAGUAACUGACGCUGAGGAGCGAAAGCAUGGGUAGCGAACAGGAUUAGAUACCCUGGUAGUCCAUGCCGUAAACGGUGGGCGCUAGGUGUAGGGGUCUUCCACGACUUCUGUGCCGUAGCUAACGCAUUAAGCGCCCCGCCUGGGGAGAACGGCCGCAAGGCUAAAACUCAAAUGAAUUGACGGGG
rnacentral:rRNA from 1 species